CCUACGGGUGGCAGCAGUGAGGAAUAUUGGUCAAUGGCCGGAAGGCUGAACCAGCCAUGCCGCGUGAAGGUCAGUGCCCUAUGGGCGUUAAACUUCUUUUGUCCGGGAGCAAUAAUGCUCACGUGUGGCCAGACGAGAGUACCGUACGAAUAAGCAUCGGCUAACUCCGUGCCAGCAGCCGCGGUAAUACGGGGGAUGCAAGCGUUAUCCGGAUUUAUUGGGUUAAAAGGGUGCGUAGGCUGUGAGGUAAGGCAGCGGUAAAAUGUCGGGGCUCAACCCGGGCCGGCCGUUGAAACUGGGGAUCUUGAGUGGGGGAGAAGUAUGCGGAAUGCGUGGUGUAGCGGUGAAAUGCAUAGAUAUCACGAAGAACUCCGAUUGCGAAGGCAGCAUACCGGCGCCCGACUGACGCUGAGGCACGAAAGCGUGGGGAUCGAACAGGAUUAGAUACCCCUGUAGUC
rnacentral:rRNA from 1 species